rnacentral:rRNA from 1 species
AACGAACGCUGGCGGCGCGCCUAAUACAUGCAAGUCGAGCGAGAAGACGUAGCAUUACUUUUGUAAAGCGGCGAACGGGUGAGGAAUACAUGGGUAACCUACCCUCGAGUGGGGAAUAACUAGCCGAAAGGUUAGCUAAUACCGCAUACCACUCCCGGUCUGCGGAUCGGGAGGGAAAGCGAUACCGUGGGUAUCGCGCUCUUGGAUGGGCUCAUGUCCUAUCAGCUUGUUGGUGAGGUAACGGCUCACCAAGGCUUCGACGGGUAGCUGGUCUGAGAGGACGAUCAGCCACACUGGCACUGCGACACGGGCCAUACUCCUACGGGAGGCAGCAGUAAGGAAUAUUGCGCAAUGGGCGACAGCCUGACGCAGCGACGCCGCGUGGGGGAUGAAGGUCUUCGGAUUGUAAACCCCUUUCGGCAGGGAAGAUGGAACAGGCAACCGUUCGGACGGUACCUGCAGAAGCAGCCACGGCUAACUUCGCGCCAGCAGCCGCGGAAAUACGAAGGUGGCAAGCGUUGUUCGUAUUUACUGGGCGUACAGGGAGCGUAGGCGGUUGGGUAAGCCCUCCGUGAAAUCUCCGGGCCUAACCCGGAGAGGGCGGAGGGGACUGCUCGGCUAGAGGAUGGGAGAGGAGCGCGUAUUUCCCGGUGUAGCGGU